rnacentral:rRNA from 1 species
UAGGACAAAACCAAUCGGGCUUGCCCGCUAUUUGGUGAAUCUGAAUAACUAUGCCGAUCGCACAGUCCUCGAACUGGCGACGUAUCUUUCAAAUGUCUGCCUUAUCAACUUUCGAUGGUAGUUUACACGGCUACCAUGGUUUUAACGGGUAACGGAGAAUUAGGGUUCGACUCCGGAGAGGGAGCCUGAGAAACGGCUACCACAUCCAAGGA